rnacentral:rRNA from 1 species
CAGUCGAGAAUCUUUCACAAUGGGGGCAACCCUGAUGGAGCGACGCCGCGUGGAGGAUAAGGUCUUCGGAUUGUAAACUCCUGUCAUGCGUGAACAAGGCAGCCUGGUUAAUACCUGGGCUGAUUGAUGGUAACGCAAGAGGAAGAGACGGCUAACUCUGUGCCAGCAGCCGCGGUAAUACAGAGGUCUCAAGCGUUGUUCGGAAUCACUGGGCGUAAAGGGUGCGUAGGUGGCGUGGUAAGUCAGAUGUGAAAGCCCGGGGCUCAACCUCGGAACUGCAUCCGAUACUGCUGUGCUAGAGUACUGGAGAGGUGACUAGAAUUCUCGGUGUAGCAGUGAAAUGCGUAGAUAUCGAGAGGAAUACCAAAGGCGUAGGCAGGUCACUGGACAGUUACUGACACUGAGGCACGAAGGCCAGGGGAGCAAACGGGAUUAGA